rnacentral:rRNA from 1 species
UUUUACCUACGGGGGGCAGCAGUGGGGAAUAUUGCACAAUGGGGGAAACCCUGAUGCAGCGACGCCGCGUGAAGGAAGAAGUAUCUCGGUAUGUAAACUUCUAUCGGCAGGGAAGAAAACGGACGGUACCUGACUAAGAAGCCCCGGCUAACUACGUGCCAGCAGCCGCGGUAAUACGUAGGGGGCGAGCGUUAUCCGGAUUUACUGGGUGUAAAGGGAGCGUAGACGGCUGGGCAAGCCUGAUGUGAAAGGCGGGGG